UACGAAGGGGGCUAGCGUUGUUCGGAAUCACUGGGCGUAAAGGGCGCGUAGGCGGCUAUGCAAGUCAGGCGUGAAAGCCCCGGGCUCAACCCGGGAAUUGCGCUUGAUACUGUGUGGCUUGAGUCCGGGAGAGGAUGGCGGAAGUCCCAGUGUAGAGGUGAAAUUCGUAGAUAUUGGGAAGAACACCGGUGGCGAAGGCGGCCAUCUGGACCGGUACUGACGCUGAGGCGCGAAAGCGUGGGGAGCAAACAGG
rnacentral:rRNA from 1 species